ACAAUGUAUCGUUUCCAACAUUCGGAAAUAAAGACAUGUUGAAAUCUCUAUGGAAGCACACUCAGGUUCUAGCAGAAGAGUUUUGGAACCGCUGGCGUAACGAAUAUUUAAACCGUCUACAAACUCGACAAAAAUGGACCAGUGAAUACAGUAAUAUGAAGGAAGGCGAUUUAGUACUCUUAAGAGACCGUGAAUGUGCUCGCAACUAUUGGCCAGUCGCAAUUGUUGAAAAGACAUUCCCUAGUUUUGAUCAGAAAGUCAGAAAGGUUCAAAUUCGUGUUGUGCGUGAUGGGAAAGCAGUUAGUUAUGUUAGACCAAUCAACGAACUAGUAAUGUUGGUAGAGCAUGUGGAACUAAAACAAAGUGAAACAGAUUAAUGAUUAUAAUUUUAACUCGUUGAAUCUUCGGAUAGUCAGAUCAUUUUAUAACAGUUAUUACAUUUUGCAUUGAUAAUUUGUUCAUGUUAUUUUCAAAUUUGUUAAUGAAUUGGUGAUUUCAGUUUUGAAAUCAGAGGGGGAGUGUUAUGUCACACUCCGGAAAUUACGGAUCUGUCCGUCAUUAUGUCGAAUUUUAUUUUUGAUGUCUGCCACACGGCAAAGAUAAACAAACUUUUCUUUGGUAUUCAACCCUCCACAGGUUUUUUACCCUCUCUGGAGGUCUGCAAUAAAAGAUAGUAACUCAGG